rnacentral:rRNA from 1 species
AUACGUAGGGUGCAAGCGUUAAUCGGAAUUACUGGGCGUAAAGCGUGCGCAGGCGGUUCGGAAAGAAGGAUGUGAAAUCCCAGGGCUCAACCUUGGAACUGCAUUCUUAACUACCGAACUAGAGUAUGUCAGAGGGGGGUAGAAUUCCGCGUGUAGCAGUGAAAUGCGUAGAUAUGCGGAGGAAUACCGAUGGCGAAGGCAGCCCCCUGGGAUAAUACUGACGCUCAUGCACGAAAGCGUGGGAAGCAAACAGGAUUAGAUACCCUGGUAGUCCACGCCCUAAACGAUGUCAACUAGCUGUUGGGCCCUUCGGGGCUUAGUAGCGUAGCUAACGCGUGAAGUUGACCGCCUGGGGAGUACGGUCGCAAGAUUAAAACUCAAAGGAAUUGACGGGA